UACCUAGUUGAAUCUAGGUUGCCCGCCGU
rnacentral:sRNA from 1 species